CCUACGGGUGGCAGCAGUAAGGAAUAUUGGACAAUGGACGCAAGUCUGAUCCAGCCAUGCCGCGUGAAGGAUGAAGGUCCUCUGGAUUGUAAACUUCUUUUAUAUGGGACGAAAAAAGGGAAUUCUUUCCCUCUUGACGGUACUGUAUGAAUAAGCACCGGCUAACUCCGUGCCAGCAGCCGCGGUAAUACGGAGGGUGCAAGCGUUAUCCGGAUUCACUGGGUUUAAAGGGUGCGUAGGCGGGUAUGUAAGUCAGUGGUGAAAUCCCGGAGCUUAACUCUGGAACUGCCAUUGAUACUAUAUAUCUUGAAUAUUGUGGAGGUUUGCGGAAUAUGUCAUGUAGCGGUGAAAUGCAUAGAUAUGACAUAGAACACCUAUUGCGAAGGCAGCAGGCUACACAUAUAUUGACGCUGAGGCACGAAAGCGUGGGGAUCAAACAGGAUUAGAUACCCCAGUAGUC
rnacentral:rRNA from 1 species